AACAUAAAAGAGACAAGAAUAGGAAUGCGAAGAUUAAUCAUUUUUGUGAUAUGGUAUUUUCUCUUGAAUGGAAACCAGCUUGAAGGGUCAAGUAAUAUUGUGAGUGAACAGAGUCUGUGUUUUGGUAUUGUGUAACGAGUGAGUUGUUAUAUAUUACAUAGACGAGAGAGCUAUUUAUAAUGUAAUUUUCAUAGGUGUCAACAAAUAUGGUGAGAAGAACUCUAAUCACCAUUUUGAGUUUUUGAUGUUAGUCUUCAACAAACUCACCUAUAUUUUCAUUUAAUUUUACUUCUUAUAUGUAUAACUCCUUUACGUUUAAUUAGCUGAGAACUUAAAGUAGUUUACCUGUUCAAGUUAUAAACAUUAGACAUUACAAGAAAACUUGUAUAAUGGAUAGAUCAAUCUCACCUAUCUAGUCAAAAUAGAUAGAAACAAAAGAAGCUCCUCAAUCAAUUUUAAAAGUAUCCAAUUAGUAAAAUAUAUUUUAUAUAUAUGAGGAGCAAAAAUCAACUAAAUACAUUGUAAAAGUCUAAACCCCAUGGUGGUAUUAAAAAGGAAUUCACCAAAACAAUAGUAAUAGAUGUGAACUUCUUGUAAGGAUUCACUUGAGACUUGAGAGGGAUAAACGUAGAGGACUGUCACCGUGUGGCACCUUGACCAGGCAUGCUUAGCCGGUUUCAAGAGAUUGAGAGCUCUACGUGUAGUGUCUAAUCAUCUCUGGUUAAACAUUUCACACCAAUGAUGCUUCACAUCAUUUCAGGCAUAAUCACCAUGUUCUUUAAAUGUGUCCUCACUACUUCCUAUUUUUCCGUUUAACCAAGUUUUUUUUAUUUAAUAAACCUAAAGGAUCUUUGCCUGUUCAGAUGAAUAGAAUCGAUAUUCAUAAAAUUAGCCCGUAUUAUUUGAAACACGUGAACAAUUGUUUUUAGACAAAACGAUUAAUUAACAUAGAUAAGUAACACAAACCAUUAAAAGAGUAUAUGAAACACAUAAUGAAACAUACAAGUAUAACAGAUUACAAGUAUAAGUGUAUGAAGAAAGGCUAUCAGAUCAAACCAUAGACAUGGUUCCCUAAGUAACCGACGAUGAGAUAGACACACAAGACAAAGGUGAUAUAGUAAUCUAGAUCAUGGGCGUGGGCCUUAAAGUAGAUGGGCUUUCAUACAGUUCAAUAGGCUUAGUGAGUUCCAGGCACUUUUGGGAGUUCCGGCAACUUGGGAACUUCAGGCAUCUUAGGUAGCUCCGGUUUUGGAAUCUCCGGCAUUUUUGGAACCUCAGGUUUCUGAAUCUCCGGCAUCUUCGGCAACUCCGGCUUUGGAAUCUCUGCCAUCUUCGGCAAUUCCGGUUUUUGAAUCUCCGGCAUCUUUGGCAGCUCCGGCAACUUAGGAGCUUCAGGCUUUUGAAUUUCCGGAAUCUUUGGUAGCUCCGGUUUAGGAACCUCUGGUACUUUUGGUAGCUCCGGUUUAGGAAUCUCUGGUACCUUUGGUAGCUCUGGUUUAGGAAUCUCCGGCACCUUUGGCAGCUCUGGUUUAGGAACCUCAGGCUUGGGAGUCUCCAUCAACUUAGUCCCCUCGUGCUUUGGAAAUUCAGGUAACUUGGGAAUGUCUAGUUUAGGGAGCUCCGGGAACUUAGGAACUUCGAAUUUAGGUAGCUCCGGGUGAGGAAGUUCAGGCAAUUUUGGUAACUCCAUGUGAGGUAGUUCGGGCAGUUUUGGUAUCUCCAUGUGAGGUAGUUCAGGCAAUUUGGGUAUUUCCGGUUUAGGAAUCUCCUCCACUAACCGGCGAGCUCCCACUGAAACCGGAUUAGCUAGCAAUGCAGUUAGACAGAUGAUGAGAAGUGGUGAUGAGAGGAGAAGAGCAAAGAGGCUCUUCUUCAUCAGUGCCAUGGUUCUGCUUGCUUGCUUGAAUGAAAAGUGUUUGCCUUCUUCUUCUUCUUCUUCUUCUUCUUUUGCUUUGAUGUGUGUUUGUUUGUUUUUGGUUUUUGAUGAGUUUUUGGUCUUUGAUUCGAAUGGUUAUUUAAAGGUGUUGAGAGGAAGAGGGAAGAUGAGUUUGGUGGGAAAAUAGUCUAUAUAAUUCAAAAAGUUCGUUUAACCUCUCUAUCUGUAUUCUAUCUAGUUGACUUUUAGAUCCUAAUGUUUACGUGUUCAUUUUUUUGUUACACGUCUAUCUUGAAAAUAAUCAUCAAUUAAACCAAGUUUAUUAACAAUCACUAAGAAAUCAAGUUUGAGGCUUGAUCAAUUGUGCCUUACAAAUAUCUAGCCAGUUGUGUUGAUUCUGACGAAUCAAAAUUUCAAGAUGAAUAUUUUUUGCACAUAAAUUUGGUAAAUUUGCAAGUACGAAACGAAAAGCAGCUUCAGAUUAAAGAAUGAAAGCAAACAACGUUUAGGUUGUGGUCGGUAAUCUACACAACGACUGUAGAUCCUUUUGCCUUGUGUGGUAUGUUAUGCUAUUUGUCAUCAAGUCAUUGAAGUACAAUAUAUUGUUUGAUAUAUUUGAUCUUCAGACAUAUUUUACAAAAGAAAGUUAUAGAAUUGGGUAUAACUUCAGCCGGUAACAACUUUCUUUCAAUAAAAUGUAUAAGCCAAAAUGAAACAAGUCUGAUCAGAAGCUUGCUACCUCUAAUCUGAGAAAACAAGUGUUGGUGCCUUACUUCCAUCGCAACUAUAUCAUCCGAAACCAGUUCUUGGAUAUGAUACAUAAAGGUUAUACAUAAGAUUACAUUACAUUGAUUCCACAAACGAAUCAAAGCUACAUCAUUUUCAACUACUAACAAUACAUAGGCCCGAGAACAUGCAACCACAAAACAAACAAGGACAUAAUAAAGGUCUUACUUUCACUAAGUAGCCUUGACCUUAUCAGCUACAACAACACAAAAGUAUUAACAUAUUUUUCAAGAACUCAUCAAGUUCCUCAAAAAACUCUAUCCUUUUGAUAUCAUCCUCCUUUCUUAUUCUUCUUUGCAUGAUCUCUCUCCUCAUCAUCAUCAGAUAUGUUAAUAUAUAACUCGUCACCACCAUCCUCCACGUCGUGAUAGUUUCUUGGAGCUGGUGUUUUAACAUUUGCCUGAUGAUGAUCAGCGCUUAGCACAGGGCAGUGGAAGAGAUGUGAAACCGGCGACCAACCAGAACCAGAGGUUUUAGCAUCACCUGAAAACCCUACCGGAAACAUAGCCCACGAACAGAAAAAGUAAACGCCCUGGCCAUUACUCUCCACCGGCGGCGUCUCCAUCUUAACCGCUUCAAACGCUCUCCCACACUGCUGACACCUCAACGCGCAUUCCUCGUAGCCCUUAGGGUACUCGAAAAGCGCGUAACAGUACGGACACGCCGUCCAAAAGCUCGCAGCAUUAGGACUCUCCGAGGUCUCAGCUAACUGCUCCCGUUGGCUUUGAGGUUGACCGAGUUGGUGGUCGUAGAUUGAUUUUCUCGGAGGAUCGGAGAGGACGCACCAAGCCUCAGCUUGAGCGCUUGGUCGGCGAAAGGGAGACGGUUCACAGUGGGGUUGAGGAGAAGAGCGAGUCUACGGUACUGAACCGCGACGCGUUCGAGGCUUUGGGUUAGUUUCUCGAGUCGGAGCACCGCGUACCAGUCAGGUAGUUUAGAAUCUCCGACGGUGGAUUCUCCGGCGAGGAGAGUGUCGGCGAUGGCGAUGAUGUAGUCUGCUGCAUGUGUUCGGGACGAGUCGUCUUCGCAUGCGCGGAUGGCUAAUGCCUUUGCUCCUUUGAAGUCACUUGAGGCUAGAAGCUCCUUCGAUGUGACUAGCCACCGAUCCGCCUCCGCUCCGUUAUCGUCGCCGCUGACCAUAUCUUUGUUUCUCAACCUUUGUUUUUGAGUAAAUACAGAACAGUGUUACUUUGCUAGUGGACCAACAAGACACUGUCGGACUAUACACAAUAUCUAUGGGUAGUUUUGUCAUUUCCACUAGGCCUCUCUAAACCGGCCGGUAUAUAGCAUACCAAUGAUUGUUAUUGAACUGAUCUCAAGUUUUUUUUUUGUCUUGGUCAACCAUUGUUAUUAGGACAAUUUUGCUUUCCCACAUCUUUGUCUGAAUAUAGUAAAUUUUGGGAGAUUUCUUUAACAAUUUCUUUACAUUUGAAGUUAUGAACCAAUAUAACUCCUGACAAUGCGGUUUUGAUUAUUAACGUGGAACAUUCUCAUGAGGUGAAACGGUAAGAUCGGAGGUGGUGGUAAAGACUGUAAUAACAGCCACACAUCAUCCUCUAUUUCUUUUUCUUCCCACGCAUUUUGUUUCUCUGAUAUAACAAAAACUAUUAGAGAUUAGAGAAGAAUUAAAGACGAUCGAUAAUAGAGAUUGGUUGCAACAAUGGAUGAAGAGUAUGAUGUGAUUGUUCUUGGUACUGGUCUCAAGGAGUGUAUUCUUAGUGGUCUCCUCUCUGUCGAUGGCCUCAAGGUUCUCUUUCAAUUCAAUUCCAAAUGCAUGAUUAUUUUUGUGCAUGAUCACAUGCAUGUAUACUAUAGCUUUAUUUUUACGUUUAGUUCUGGUUUUUGUUUUAGUUAUGAAUCUUAUGUCAGAUCAAUAGUUGAAUUGCCGCCUUUGGCAGUGAAGUAUAGUGCUCCAAUAAUAGCCUUUUGACCUUUGAACGAGAUUUUGUUUCGUAGACCAUGAAUGAUAUUAUAAGAUGAUUAGUGUGAAGUGUGUUAUUUUAGAAACACAUACAUAAAUACAUUUAUCUUUCAAAUAUGUAAUCAUCUAUAUAGGUACUGCAUAUGGAUAGAAACGACUACUAUGGAGGAGAAUCAAGCUCUCUUAACCUCACUCAGCUAUGGAAGCGUUUCAGGGGAAGUGACACUCCUGAAGAAAAUCUUGGAGCAAUUAGAGAAUACAAUGUCGAUAUGAUCCCAAAGGUAUGUACAUAUCUAUUAGUGAAUAUUCACAUAUAUGUAAUGUGAAUCGAUAAAUAAGGAGAUAAUGGUUUCUUGAUCUGCAGUUUAUAAUGGCUAAUGGACUCCUUGUUCAAACCCUAAUCCACACUGAUGUCACCAAGUAUCUUAACUUCAAAGCCGUUGAUGGCAGCUUCGUCUACAAUAAGGGCAAGGUAGUGAUUAAGUCUAUUUUUUUUACCUUAAAUAUAAGUAACUACUAGCUAGAGAUUUUGAUCAUCCGUACCAUUCAAACGUCAGAUCUAUAAAGUCCCAGCCACUGAUGUGGAAGCCCUAAAGUCGCCAUUGAUGGGACUAUUCGAGAAACGACGUGCGAGAAAGUUCUUCAUCUAUGUGCAAGACUACGAUGAGAAGGAUCCUAAGUCUCACGAAGGACUUGACCUUAGCAAAGUCACUGCUAGAGAGAUCAUCUCGUACGUCCAACUCAAAAUCAUUUCAUCAUUUGUUUCUUGCGUUACAAGCUUUGUCUCUCUGGUUUCUCUUUUCCCAAUAGGAAGUACGGACUUGAAGAUGAUACAAUCGACUUCAUCGGUCAUGCCUUAGCGCUUCACAAUGACGAUGACUACUUGGAUCAACCAGCCAUUGAUUUUGUUAAGAGAAUCAAGGUAAAGUGUUUUAUUUUCUUCUUGAAUAUGGAAAUGUUCUGAUCUCAAUGUGCAUUUUAUUGUUUGUUAUGUGGUAAAGCUCUACGCAGAGUCCUUGGCUCGAUUCCAAGGAGGGUCUCCUUACAUCUACCCACUGUAUGGUCUAGGAGAGUUGCCACAGGUCCGUGUUCACCUUAUUCUCAUGAAACAUGUUAGGUUUCAUCUUAAUUUAAGACCAUUUUCUAUGUUAAAAUCUCUGUUUAUAUUCUCAGGCUUUCGCGCGUUUGAGCGCUGUGUAUGGAGGGACUUACAUGCUGAACAAGCCUGAAUGCAAGGUUACACACCAUCCAUAAUUAAUCUCUUCUUUCUCGGUUUUGUUUAUUAGAAAUCUCAUAUCCAUAAAUGUAUAAGAUAGCUCGAAACUCAUGAAUAUCUUUAACAUUAUCCCUAACAGGUUGAGUUUGAUGGCUCCGGAAAAGCUAUCGGUGUCACUUCUGCAGGAGAAACUGCUAAAUGCAAGAAAGUUGUCUGUGAUCCUUCUUACUUGUCUGACAAGGUAACUCUAAACCCAUUUCACCUAUAAAGGUUGGUUCACCACUUGAUUCUCGCAAAGGCCUAGUAACGUUCUAAUAAGACGGUUUCCUUGUGUUUCAGGUUAAGAAAGUUGGGAAAGUGGCUCGAGCGGUGUGUAUAAUGAGCCAUCCUAUUCCAGACACCAACGACGCUCACUCGGUCCAAAUCAUUCUUCCACAGAAGCAGCUCGGACGCAAAUCAGACAUGUAAGAGAUUAUAAUCAAAAUUGUAAACUUUGAAAAAAUUAUUAUGUUUUGAAUUUUUAUUUGUUUAGAAUUAUGAAAAUAGAUAAUCACAAAAAAUAUACUUUUAUAACUAAAAUUAAAAACUUUGAAACAUGAGUAUAAUUUAGUACCACUACAACAAACGUAAUAAUUUCUUAGUUGUUAGUUAAAGUGAAGCCCGUAUGCUUGGUCUUCUCUUUCACUUUUGUUUUUGUUUAUAAUAAUUAACGAGCCAAAUAGUGGAAGUAAGUUUUAACUUUUUCUGGGUGGUUUCUUUAAUUAUUGUUUCAAAUUAUUUCCUUUAGGUGCGUGGGUGGGAUGUUUUGGAACAUUUACGAUGAUCAUAGGAUAAACACGUACAUACUUCAUUUUCUUGGGGUUUAAGAAAAAAACAAAUUACAUUAGAACUUUUGUUUGUUUACUUGUUCAGGAGUAUAUAGCUAGCUAAGAAAACACCAUUUUAUCCCAAUCGUUUUUACAUUUAGUGUAAGACUAUAUAGUAAAUAGUAAUAUUUUAAUAAGAAAUUUAACAAUUUGAGUAGCAUUACCCGUAUUUGAUUGAGAAAGGGAAUAAAGAAAAGAAAAAAGAAAAAGGGAAGCAAGUGAAUGAUUAAAGAAAUGCACGGGGAUUAAGUGCUUAAUUGCCUUGACGACUACUUUUUCCCAUCCUUUGUUUCUUUCUUGCUUUUUGAAUUUUUUUCUUCUAAAGAUUGAUUUCUUGUUACCUUGUUCAUGUGUUUUGUUUGAUUUGAUAUGAGGAUAGUUGUUACCGAGUGAGACCAGAGGAGGAGCUAUAUGAUUACUAUUUUCAAUAUGAUUUCAAACUACUUUAAAAUUUCUAAAUUUCUAGGAAACAAUUAUGCUAUCUGUUGAGAAAUAAUCAUUUAAAACAUGUUAAGAUAAGACUGCUGAAUAUGAUAUUUAAAUAUAAGCUUCACAUUGUCAAGGAAGACUAAGCUUUGCUAAGAUGAGUAGCCGUAUGAAAUUGGGUCUAUUCCCUAACUCAAGACUGAUAAAUGAGCCAUAAUUCUAUCCUAAAGUUGGGCAUAUUCACCAAAGUUGGACUGAUAAUUGCCCAUUUAAAGCUUUCAGUUUCUUUUUUUGGGCCAACGUAAGCUGUCAGAUAAGAAGACUUGGCAAAGCUCUCAACAUCUGGUGUACGUAAAAUAAAAUUUGUCAAAAGAAGUCAUAGAAAAAAUGAUGUUGAUACUAAUUUUUUUUUUUUUUUAAACAUUGCAUUCAUUCAAACCUACAAGGAUGAUACAUGGGUGAGAUACAAAGCCAGCAGCACACAUCAGUGUCUCUGGAAACAAAGCUGGACAAACCGAUGUUGAUACUAAUUACAAAACGUAAUAGUAAAAUAUAUAUUUUGUACCACAAGAAAAGCACACAAGCUACACGAGAGACUCAGUACAAAGACUAUUCAUUUCGAGACGUCAGUGACCCAAACAUGACAUGAAAAUGCAACAAUGCAUAAGUACUAUCUCGUGUUUCAUAAAACACAAACAAGCCUAUUAUUACACCAUAUACUUUUAUUUAUCAUUAUUCAGGCAAUAGCAGUGUAUAUAGAUUCCCUUUUAAUGUUCUCAAUCCAUUGAUCUAUGGCUUCUUGUUCGAACCACUAGAAGUUUCCUCGGAAAUAACACUUGUAGGUUUUGUCUUUUCAGUCUUUGGUAAACCGCCGUUAGUACCGGGAAAAGGGAAGCUUGGGAUCCACGAGGGGAAUUCAAAACUCCCUUCUUCUGACUCCUUUGGUGGCUCCUCUGGUUCCUCAGGAUCUUCUGGAAUCUCCGGCUCCUCCGGCUCUUCUGGAAUCUCCGGUUCCUCCGACUCCUCAAGCCUAUUAUAUUGUGGAAUCUUUGUGGCCUCUUCUUGUACCAGAGAGUGACCUAUUCUAGCAGCAAAAAUAGGUGUAGCAAACAAAAGGGACGACGAAAUAAAAACAAGGAAAAACAUAAAAGAGACAAGAAUAGGAAUGCGAAGAUUAAUCAUUUUUGUGAUAUGGUAUUUUCUCUUGAAUGGAAACCAGCUUGAA
rnacentral:lncRNA from 1 species